CGCGAUUUUUUCCUUAAGAGGAUACCAUUUCCCUCUAGUCUAGAGUAUUUGAGGAAAUCAGACUCUCCCUGGCCAGUACCUCCAUAGUUAUCUUCUGAGCUUACGGUCAGCAAUCUGGAAGUUUACCCUCUAGGAAGGCAGCCACCUCCACAGGGAAAAUGAGACACCUUCAAGAUUAAAACAACUAGAAAAGGGAGGGCAAAAAUCAGAUACUGUCCUCUCUGCCAUCCCCUCAUACCUUGAGGAGUUCAAAGGUUUUUCCAAGCCUGCGGCACUUGACAAUUACAAUUACACAGUAAAAUACCUAAGGUUAAUGAAUAACCUCUAAAGGAAGUUACUUCACAUAAUGACAGCAAUUUCUCUGAACUAAAUGUUAAUAAUAAGGCCUGUAAUACUGUGAGAAGGAAAUGGUGGCAAUUGGCAAAUGGGACUCUGUUGCUUGGUAACAAGACCUGAGGCUGUCCACAGGUGGAUUCUGAAGGGUGUUCCCAUUCCAGUGCCUUCCCAGCCCAAAGCAUGGAUGAUUUUCCAGGGACUCCAAGAUUUUCACAAAGAACAGCAACUGCAGUGGGAGUGGAGCACCCAGGCGGUCUGCAGCGGUGUCCAUCCAUGUGACUAUUUCCUGCGCCAGCACAGUGCCAUAGGUGGGAAGGCAAAAACUCUCAUUAAACAGCUAUAACUAAAGAGAAUCAAAUUCACACAAUUCACAAUCAGAACUAUACAUUAAGUGAGCCAUCAAAGCUGAAAGCACUGGAAGAGAAAAAUUCAUCACAAAGGAAGUACUAUCUUUUAAAAAUUAGAUUUAUCUAUGUAUCUAAUCUGAAGUCUAUUACCUCCCAGCAUCUGCUCCAUGGUUUCGUCAUGAAUCCUUGGCUGGCUCAAAAGCCUCAAAUUGGUAACAAUCCAAAUCCAUUAACAGUAGAAUGGAUUAAAAUUUAUGGCAUAUUUAUACUGUGGAAUAUUAUGCAACUACUGACAAUAAAACAGAUGAAUCUUACGUAAUGUUGAGCA
rnacentral:lncRNA from 1 species